rnacentral:rRNA from 1 species
AAACCGUUCAGGGGUAAACCUGAGAAACCCAAAAGAUCGAAUGGGGAGAUUCAUCGUCAGCGGCUUUGGCUUUCGUGUGGUUUUGUGAUGUUUCGGGAUUUCGGUCUCGUAGCACGCGGCCACUGCGGUAUGUCUGGAGUCGUCGGCGUGCACUUCUCCUCUAGUAGGACGUCGCGACCCGUUGGGUGUCGGUUUACGGUCUGGGUGUGUUGCCUGUUCCCUCGCAUUUACGUGCGCUUGGGACCAGACCCCCGGUACUAACUGACCGACUGCCCGGCGGUACUCGCACGGUAUCGGGCCGCACCAAGGUGCGUCGGACCCGCUGCAAGCGAGAUCAGUGAUACCCGGAGGUGCGGACCUAGUGCCGUCCCCGGGCCUGGUCAGCUGUUGGUCGGCGGUGUUCUCAGACUGGCUCGUUUGAAUGAAUCAAUACCGGUCGGCGACGCUACUGCUUUGGGUACUUUCAGGA